CCCCUCUCAGGGUCACACCUGGAGAGUUCCCAAUACUCGACUAGUCUCAACUACGGGAGGGAGGGCCAGGCAGAGGCAUAUCCAUUCCAUUCCUAGCUUGGUCAGUGGCUAGAGAGUGGAAAGCAAUCUGCUACAACU